rnacentral:rRNA from 3 species
UUGACCUCGGAUCAGGUAGGAAUACCCGCUGAACUUAAGCAUAUCAAUAAGCGGG